UUCAGCUCUAGCAGUGCAAAGGCUUCACUGAAAAAGAACAUUACAAAUUUUUUUUGAAAGAAAUUUGGGGCAUGCACCCCCGCGCCCGGCUAAUUUUUUCUGUUUUUAUUAGAGACGGGGUUUCUCCAUGGUGGUCAGGCUGGUCUCAAACUCCCGACCUUAGGUGAUACGCCCACCUCGGCCUCCCAAAGUGCUGGGAUUACAGGCGUGAGCCACCGUGCCCGGCCGACAGGUGUUUUUUAUGAGUUACAGACUAUGUGCUUUCAGAAUGAGGCAACCGAUUUAAGGAUGUAAGCAUAAUUUAAGGAUAUUGAAAAUGAUAUAGGAAUAAAUUUUGUUUAGUCAUUCAUGGAUUUAUUCAUUUUCAGAUGACUAUGUGUGUGAAUAUUUAAGAAUUCUAAAACCGCAUGGGAUUACUUAUAACUAUAUAGGAGCCUAACACGAUAAUGGAAUCAGAAUAUACUUUGCUGAAGGGAGGAGGCUUUUAACUGAAAGUCUUCUCUCUACGUUUUUAUGUCUCUAACAGGAAUCCACUGAAGACCUACAUUUCCCGGAAGGUUAACAGCCCCCUUCUCAGUUUUCCUGGUAAAGUGUUUUUAUAUUGGUAGAAUACCUUCUGUCACACUCUAUAUUUUUCUUAUCUCAAGUAGAAAAAAAUUUUGCCCUUUUGCUUGGGACUGUUAACAGCCCUGGUAGUGGAAAGUAGAAGGAAAUGAUUCUGUGAAUUUUCUGUUAUAUAAAUUUUAGCCAGUUUAGGACUUUUGAAUGAGGGGCCAUACAGCCAAGGAUUUAGGAUUUCAGCUCAGGAAAGAAAACUGCAUAGGUGUUUAAUUGUGUCCUAGCCACUUAUUAGCUGGGUAACUUUGAGCAAGUUUUAUACAUAUCCUUCCCAUGAGUUUUUCAUUUCUAAUACUGGCUGUGUAAUACAGUAUGUUUCAUAGACUUGCUGUAAUAAUCGAUGGAGUGUAUCUAAUAGUGUUUAUUUUACUGUAACUGGGCCACAGUUAGGAAGUACUCAAUUAAAAUUAGCCGUCAUUAUUCCUAGUAUUAAUAUGGUGAUGAACAGCUAAAGAGCAUUUAAACUGCUCCUAUCAGUGACAAAUCAGCGUAUUAGAACAUGCAUGCUGGCUGAUCAUUCUGAUCAAGUCA
rnacentral:lncRNA from 1 species